AUUGAACGCUGGCGGCAGGCUUAACACAUGCAAGUCGAGCGAGCGGCGGACGGGUGAGUAAUGUCUGGGAAACUGCCUGAUGGAGGGGGAUAACUACUGGAAACGGUAGCUAAUACCGCAUACCAUCAGAUGUGCCCCGAUGGGAUUAGCUAGGAGGUGGGGGAAUGGCUCACCUAGGCGACGAUCCCUAGCUGGUCUGAGAGGAUGACCGGCCACCCUGGAGCGUGGACGCGGUCCAGACUCCUACGAGAGGCCGCAGUGGGGAAUAUUGCACAGUGGGCGCAAGCCUGAUGCAGCCAUGCCGCGUGUGUGAAGAAGGCGUUCGGGUUGUAAAGCACUUUCAGCGAGUAGGCGUUACUCGCAGAAGAAGCACCGGCUAACUCCGUGCCAGCAGCCGCGGUAAUUC
rnacentral:rRNA from 1 species